rnacentral:tRNA from 1 species
GCCCAGCUGGCUCAGCCGGUGGAGCGUUUGACUAUUGAUCUUGGGGUUGUGAGUUCGAGCCCCAUGUUGGGUG